GACGGUAGCUCAAUGGUAGAGCAGUAGCCUUUUAAGCUAUUGGUUGCGGGUUCGAGUCUCGCCCGGAUCACCA
rnacentral:tRNA from 1 species